rnacentral:rRNA from 1 species
AGAGUUUGAUUCUGGCUCAGAACGAACGCUGGCGGCGUGGAUAAGACAUGCAAGUCGAACGGGAUCAGUUGAGUAGCAAUACGAUUCUGGUCUAGUGGCGAACGGGUGCGUAACACGUGGAUACAUUCCGGGAAGCGGGGGAUAGCCCAGGGAAACUUGGAUUAAUACCGCAUGUGAUCACAAGAUCAAAGACGGGGACCGCAAGGCCUGUCACUUCCCGAUUGGUCCGCGGCCUAUCAGCUAGUUGGCGGGGUAAAGGCCCACCAAGGCGACGACGGGUAGCUGGUCUGAGAGGACGACCAGCCACACUGGAACUGAGACACGGUCCAGACACCUACGGGUGGCAGCAGUCGAGAAUCUUUCACAAUGGGGGCAACCCUGAUGGAGCGACGCCGCGUGGAGGAUAAGGUCUUCGGAUUGUAAACUCCUGUCAUGCGCGAACAAGGCCGCGGGGCUAACACCCCUUGCGGAUUGAUGGUAGCGCAAGAGGAAGAGACGGCUAACUCUGUGCCAGCAGCCGCGGUAAUACAGAGGUCUCAAGCGUUGUUCGGAAUCACUGGGCGUAAAGGGUGCGUAGGUGGCGUGGCAAGUCAGAUGUGAAAGCCCGGGGCUCAACCCCGGAACCGCAUCCGAUACUGCCAUGCUGGAGCGCUGAAGGGGUGACUGGAAUUCUCGGUGUAGCAGUGAAAUGCGUGGAUAUCGAGAGGAACGCCAAAGGCGAAGGCAGGUCACUGGGCAGUUGCUGACACUGAGGCACGAAGGCCAGGGGAGCGAACGGGAUUAGAUACCCCGGUAGUCCUGGCAGUAAACGGUGCACGCUUGGUGUGGGGGGGUUCGACCCCUUCCGCGCCGGAGCCAACGCGUUAAGCGUGCCGCCUGGGAAGUACGGUCGCAAGAUUAAAACUCAAAGAAAUUGACGGGGACCCGCACAAGCGGUGGAGUAUGUGGCUUAAUUCGAUGCAACGCGAAGAACCUUACCUGGUCUUGACAUGCAUUGUGUCUCCGCUGAAAGGCGGAUAGCGUAGCAAUACGCGCUUUGCACAGGUGCUGCAUGGCUGUCGUCAGCUCGUGUCGUGAGAUGUUGGGUUAAGUC